CGGACGGGUGAGUAAUGUCUGGGAAACUGCCUGAUGGAGGGGGAUAACUACUGGAAACGGUAGCUAACACCGCAUAACGUCGCAAGACCAAAGAGGGGGACCUUCGGGCCUCUUGCCAUCGGAUGUGCCCAGAUGGGAUUAGCUAGUAGGUGGGGUAAAGGCUCACCUAGGCGACGAUCCCUAGCUGGUCUGAGAGGAUGACCAGCCACACUGGAACUGAGACACGGCCCAG
rnacentral:rRNA from 1 species